CAUCGUGCCCCGCUGCCUCUGUCCUGUGUGGAGAAGCUGGGGCCGGCCGGGGUGGGGCUGAGCUGGGGGGGAAGAAGGGACUCCACCGUGAGUUGCCUGAAUAGAGGAGGCCCCGAGAGGCUGGGUGAGGCACCCCGAAACCAAGCAGGAAAAAUCCCUCCAUGUACAGGUGGUGACUAGCCUUCCCCGCUUGGGAAGCUUCUAGGCUCCUCGGAACUCACUGGUGGGUACACUUUUGCUCUCUCUCUUUUUUUUUUUNAAGAUUUAUUUAUUUAUUUAUGAUAGACAUAGAGAGAGAGAGAAAGAGGCAGAGAUACAGGAGGAGGGAGAAACAGGCUCCAUGCCAGGAGCCCGACGCGGGACUCGAUCCCGGGACUUCAGGAUCGCGCCCUGAGCCAAAGGCAGGCGCUAAACCGCUGAGCCACCCAGGGAUCCCCUUUUGCUCUCUUUUUAACCACUUUCCCGUAGGUAAAGGUGACACCUGUGGAGUUCCUGGAAAGGCUCAUGUGUUGGCUUUCAGAGGCCUCUGGAGGAGAGGACCUGGGGAAAUUUGCCUCUGGGCUCCUCUCGAACUAAGAACAAAAGCCGUCUGGAAGAAAAAUGUCCUCAUGACUGAGAAGCUACCAAGAACCUCGUGUAAGUUUUUUUUUUUUUUUUUUUUUUUUCCUAAACAGGUAUUUAGUUCACUUCACUGUCACAGCAUUCUUAAAAAGUUGUGCGAAACAUAGCAUGUUCAUCAAGUGAAUUCCAUUUUCAGCAUCCUGGGGGAGUUCAUUCUGUUCAGGAACUCUUCAAGGAAAUCCUCUUAAUUGUCACACCUUAGAUAUAGGGCCACCCGCACUUUCUAGGGUGGGGCAGGGAAGCUAUCCGAGAAAGGAUUGCUUCUCUGCUCACACCCAUCCAAGCGCUCAUACUAGUACAGUUUGUACUCACAGACACCCCCACUCACGCCAAAACAGCCCCACAAUGCCCUUCCACACUUGCUGUGCACACAUGCGCAUGCACGCUCUCGCGUGCAGCCUUGUUUCCUGCCAAAGGAGCUGCACACGUGGAGCGGAGCACCAGGAUCUGUUUUCUUCAGGGAACAGCUGUUGCUUAUCUAUUAGAACAUAAAAUUCAGGGUCAGAGGCCUCUGGGGCCCCAGCUCACUCAGCCUGCGGAGAAAGCCUGGUUUCGAAGUUUCUUUAUCUGAAAACUUCCCCUCCAGUUGUUUGUGGAGAACUGGAUUUGGUUUUUUAAAGAUGCUAUACAUAAUUACCCCCAAAUCAAGUCCUGCUAGAAGAGUAGGUUUCCAUUCACUCAUACGACAGGAGUUUUUGGGUUUUUUUGAGGGCCUAUGAAACGACAGGCAUCAUGGUAAGUACCGGGGGUUUAGCAGUGAAUAAGGAGAUGCCGCUUCUGUGCCUGCAGAGCUCAGAGUCUUUGGGAAUUGUCGGUUUUCCAUGGCUGCCGUAACAGACUUGCCUCAAAGGUAGGGCUUUAUUUUAUCCUAUUUUUAAAAAGGAUUUGUUUAUUUAUUUGAGAGAGAGAGACAGCGAGAGAGAGAGCACAAGCAGAGGGAGAGGCAGAAGCAGGCUCCCCGCCGAGCAGGGAGCCUGAUACCCAUGUGGGCUCCACCCCAGGAUCCUAAGAUAAUGACCGGAGCCAAAGGCAGCCGCUUAACCAACUGAGCCACCCAGGUGCCCCUCGGAGGUAGGGCUUUAAAGCCCAUAUUUAGUGUCUUAUAGC
ensembl:lncRNA